rnacentral:snRNA from 1 species
GGAAGUAAGGGCAAUCUGGCUGCAGCCUUGGUCACCCCCUGGACUGAUUCCACUGGCUGGGUGGGUGGUGUCCCUUUCCUCCUGUUCCCUUCCAUGUGCAUCCUGCCCAAGGCUGCAUGCUUGGGCGAGGAGGAGAAGGGUGUGGGAGUAGCUGUGCUCCCC